rnacentral:rRNA from 1 species
UAAUACAUACUGUGCGAACGUUAUUCGGAUUCACUGGGCUUAAAGGGUGUGUAGGCGGCUUGUUAAGUAGGGUGUGAAAGCCCCCAGCUCAACUGGGGAACUGCAUUCUAAACUGGCGAGCUAGAGUGAGAUAGGGGUGUCCGGAACUGCCAGUGGAGCGGUGAAAUGUGUUGAUAUUGGCAGGAACGCCGGUGGCGAAAGCGGGACACUGGGUCUCAACUGACGCUGAGACACGAAAGCCAGGGGAGCAAACGGGAUUAGAUACCCCGGUAGUCCUGGCCGUAAACGCUGAGUACUCGUCGGGAGCGACUGCGGUCGCUCCAGACUUAGAGAAAUCGUUAAGUACUCCGCCUGGGGAGUAUGGUCGCAAGGCUG